AAAAAAAUUUAAAAAGCUGCAUCCUGUGUCUCCUGUUUCUGAUGGAUGGUGCUGCUUGGGAACCGUCAAUCCUGGAGCCUGGGCUUCUGGAUUGAACAGCCGUGUGUAUGUCCACAAGGAUGUUUGUUCCAGUUCACAGCAGUUUCAUCAAAGGUCAUACCAGUCACACCUUCAUGUCUUCCAUGUCUUCUCUCCACCAAAACACCUUUAUCAAAGCGAUCUUGAUGGCCAAGUGCAACGAGAGCUUGGCGCCUGGGAUGGACUCAUUAAAAAUUUAAUGAACGAAGAAAUGAAGAAGCACUUAUGUAAGUGAUUAUUCAGAGUAGUCAGGAGCACAAAGUGAGUAGUUUUCAGCUUUCGUCUGGGUACGUGGAGUGAACUGAAGGCUGAGCUCUGAACCCAGAGUUUUCUUCUUAGUUUUUUCAACAUGAACAGUAUGUAGUUAAAGAUGGUAGACGGGUAGCAGAACCAUUCCCUUGUUCCA